GGGAACGCGACGGCAAGGGUGGCAGUGGCAGCGUUCGUGUGCUCGGGUCUGAAUCACUGAGGGAGGAGGCGGUGGAGGAAGAGGUGGCAGCGGUGGCGGUGGUCGUAGCGGUGGCGGAGGAGGCGGGUACGAAUCAGCUGCGGGCAGAGACAUGGCCAACAUCGCGGUGCAGCGAAUCAAGCGGGAGUUCAAGGAGGUGCUGAAGAGCGAGGAGGUCCGGUUUAUCACUAAAAUAUGGCACCCUAAUAUUAGUUCCGUCACAGGGGCUAUUUGUUUGGAUAUCCUGAAAGAUCAAUGGGCAGCAGCAAUGACUCUGCGCACAGUAUUAUUGUCAUUGCAAGCACUGCUGGCCGCUGCAGAACCAGAUGACCCCCAAGAUGC
rnacentral:lncRNA from 1 species